rnacentral:rRNA from 1 species
AUUGAACGCUGGCGGCAUGCUUUACACAUGCAAGUCGAACGGUAACAGGGAGCUUGCUCCGCUGACGAGUGGCGAACGGGUGAGUAAUGCGUCGGAACGUGCCGAGUAGUGGGGGAUAACGCAUCGAAAGGUGUGCUAAUACCGCAUACGAACUGAGGUUGAAAGUGGGGGACCUUCGGGCCCCACGCGAUUCGAGCGGCCGACGUCUGAUUAGCUAGUUGGUGAGGUAAAGGCUCACCAAGGCGACGAUCAGUAGCGGGUCUGAGAGGAUGAUCCGCCACACUGGGACUGAGACACGGCCCAGACUCCUACGGGAGGCAGCAGUGGGGAAUUUUGGACAAUGGGCGCAAGCCUGAUCCAGCCAUGCCGCGUGUCUGAAGAAGGCCUUCGGGUUGUAAAGGACUUUUGUCCGGGAGCAAAUGCUGGUGGCUAACAUCCACCGGAGCUGAGAGUACCGGAAGAAUAAGCACCGGCUAACUACGUGCCAGCCGCCGCCGUAAGAC